ACAGCAGCCGCCGCGGGAAUACGAAGGGUGCAAGCGUUACUCGGAAUUACUGGGCGUAAAGCGUGCGUAGGUGGUGGUUUAAGUCCGUUGUGAAAGCCCUGGGCUCAACCUGGGAAUUGCAGUGGAUACUGGGUCACUAGAGUGUGGUAGAGGAUAGUGGAAUUUCCGGUGUAGCAGUGAAAUGCGUAGAGAUCGGAAGGAACAUCUGUGGCGAAGGCGACUAUCUGGGCCAACACUGACACUGAGGCACGAAAGCGUGGGGAGCAAACAGGAUUAGAUACCCCCGUAGUCCCUGUCUCUUAUAA
rnacentral:rRNA from 1 species